CAAUCAAGUACUUAUCAAGUCAGUGUAUGAGUCAAGAUAGGAUUGACCCCUCUGAAUAAGUAGGAGUUAAUGUAUCAGUGUAUUUUAAUUUCAUAAAAUCUUGAUCAGAGUAAUUCAUAUGAUGCAUUUUAAAGGUUGAAAUACAAUAUGAUCGACUAUUUUAGGAUUGACAGUUAAACCCUAUGUCAUCUUGAGCAUUAGGGUCAAAGGGAUGAAUCAUACAGUAACUAUACAUCAAUAGAUUCUAGAAUAUUGCUCUACAAUCUUUCGGCCUAUUUGGAUGUCGGGUCCC
rnacentral:lncRNA from 1 species